rnacentral:lncRNA from 1 species
GAACAUUUGUUUACAAACGAAGUUCAAACAUUGAAAUGAACUUGCGAACUUUGUUGCGAAGUUCGCGCCCAAUUUCCGAACUUGGAAACGUAAUUGGCAAGUUCGCAACGAACUUGGGACCCGCGCGUUGAAAAGUGACUUGAAAUCGACAAUAAACUAAACUAUAAAGUGUGUCCUUAGUUCCCCUGUCAACCAUCAAAGAAGUGAGAUCAGGGAAGAACACGGAGGUAUUUCGUGCCAUCGAGCGAGAAGACAUCCCCGAAGAUUGCGCAUUCUCGAUCAUUCACGGAGACAACUUCAUCGUGCUGGAUCUAAUCGCCCACAGUCCUGAUGACGCAAAUAUCUGGAUCACUGGCUUACGAUGUCUGCUUGAUUCUGAUUUCAGU